rnacentral:tRNA from 2 species
GGAGGGGUGGCAGAGCCUGGCUGAAUGCACUGGUCUUGAAAACCAGCAUACGUUUACGCGUAUCGUGGGUUCGAAUCCCACCCCCUCCG